rnacentral:rRNA from 1 species
UGGGUAAUAUUGGACAAUGGGCGAAAGCCUGAUCCAGCCAUGCCGCGUGUGUGAAGAAGGUCUUCGGAUUGUAAAGCACUUUAAGUUGGGAGGAAGGGCAGUAAGCGAAUACCUUGCUGUUUUGACGUUACCGACAGAAUAAGCACCGGCUAACUCUGUGCCAGCAGCCGCGGUAAUACAGAGGGUGCAAGCGUUAAUCGGAAUUACUGGGCGUAAAGCGCGCGUAGGUGGUUCGUUAAGUUGAAUGUGAAAGCCCCGGGCUCAACCUGGGAACUGCAUCCAAAACUGGCGAGCUAGAGUAGGGCAGAGGGUGGUGGAAUUUCCUGUGUAGCGGUGAAAUGCGUAGAUAUAGGAAGGAACACCAGUGGCGAAGGCGACCACCUGGGCUCAUACUGGCACUGAGGUGCGAAAGCGUGGGGAGCAAACAGG